CAAGAGUCCUCCGCCUCCUCUGGGUCAUAGAAGGGCAGGAGCUUGUUUGAUAAGCAGUGUAUUGUGUUCAGGAGACAUUAGACACUGUAUCAAUAUUGGAUGAGGCUUGUGGGGUGCGGCUGGCCGACCACCUGCUGUGUGGGACUACAAGCUGUCCUGUACCUGGCAUGGCACAUGAAGACUGAUGUGUUCAGGGCUGGGGAGCAGCAUGUUGUCUUCUAGGGCUGAUCUGGCUCCAGCUUGGCCAUUCUCUGUUUCCUGCUCUCCCACUGGAGAGGAAAAUCAUACUAAUACCUACCAAUUACUGUCUGCUGCUUCUGGGCCAGGCACUUAACAGAUGUUAUCUCUUUUAGUCUUCAGAAGGCUCAUUUAAGGAAAAUGCUGAGAAAACUGAGGCCUGGAGAAUUAAGAAACUUGCCCAAGGUCAAAUAGUAAGCCAUGGUCCUAGGAGGACCAGUUAACCACGUUUAGGACAUGAGUCAACUUGACCUGAACAACGAGGUCUUCAGAAGCACCGUUUUCAUAAACUGGGCUGUGAAGCUCUGGAGAAUGGAAGGACACAGAAAAAGGGGAUCUUCAAGUGACCUUGAAAUGGCUGUGGCUGCUCCUUCAGAGGACCCCAUCCUGACCCUCUUCUAGCCAUGCCUCUCGCUGUGGCAUCCAGUUCCCAGAACUCCCUGGAGGAUUCUCAAGCCUCCAACAAUGAAGUGUCUCAUUCGGAGCAAAAGUAAG
rnacentral:lncRNA from 10 species